GGCUCAGUGGGGGGAAGCCUUAAACAUGGCAGUCGAGCGGGGGAGGUUGCUUCGGUAACUGACCUAGCGGCGGACGGGUGAGUAAUGCUUAGGAAUCUGCCAUUUAGUGGGGGACAACAUUCCGAAAGGAAUGCUAAUACCGCAUACGUCCUACGGGAGAAAGCAGGGGAUCUUCGGACCUUGCGCUAAAUGAUGAGCCUAAGUCGGAUUAGCUAGUUGGUGGGGUAAAGGCCUACCAAGGCGACGAUCUGUAGCGGGUCUGAGAGGAUGAUCCGCCACACUGGGACUGAGACACGGCCCAGACUCCUACGGGAGGCAGCAGUGGGGAAUAUUGGACAAUGGGCGGAAGCCUGAUCCAGCCAUGCCGCGUGUGUGAAGAAGGCCUUUUGGUUGUAAAGCACUUUAAGCGAGGAGGAGGCUCUCUUAGUUAAUACCUAAGAUGAGUGGACGUUACUCGCAGAAUAAGCACCGGCUAACUCUGUGCCAGCAGCCGCAA
rnacentral:rRNA from 1 species